rnacentral:rRNA from 1 species
UACGUAGGGGGCUAGCGUUGUCCGGAAUCAUUGGGCGUAAAGAGCGUGUAGGCGGCCCGGUAAGUCCGCUGUGAAAGUCGGGGGCUCAACCCUCGAAUGCCGGUGGAUACUGUCGGGCUAGAGUGCGGAAGAGGCGAGUGGAAGUUCCUGGUGUAGCGGUGAAAUGCGCAGAUAUCAGGAAGAACACCCGUGGCGAAGGCGGCUCUCUGGGACGGUACUGGACGCUGAGACGCGAAAGCGUGGGGAGCGAACAGG